rnacentral:rRNA from 1 species
GAUGAACGCUGGCGGCGUGCCUAAUACAUGCAAGUCGAGCGAACAGACGAGGAGCUUGCUCCUCUGACGUUAGCGGCGGACGGGUGAGCAACACGUGGAUAACCUACCUAUAAGACUGGGAUAAAUUCGGGAAACCGGAGCUAAUACCGGAUAAUAUAUUGAACCGCAUGGUUCAAUAGUGAAAGACGGUUUUGCUGUCACUUAUAGAUGGAUCCGCGCCGCAUUAGCUAGUUGGUAAGGUAACGGCUUACCAAGGCGACGAUGCGUAGCCGACCUGAGAGGGUGAUCGGCCACACUGGAACUGAGACACGGUCCAGACUCCUACGGGAGGCAGCAGUAGGGAAUCUUCCGCAAAGGGCGAAAGCCUGACGGAGCAACGCCGCGUGAGUGAUGAAGGUCUUCGGAUCGUAAAACUCUGUUAUUAGGGAAGAACAAAUGUGUAAGUAACUAUGCACGUCUUGACGGUACCUAAUCAGAAAGCCACGGCUAACUACGUG